UAUUUUGGCAUUAAUUUACAUGUUAAAACUUAAAUAAUUUCUAAUUACUGCUUCCUUUUUAGUGUACCUGCCCGGCGGUUGCAUUUUGAGUGAAUCUCAAUACAAGCAUAUGCAAGAGUUCAUAGCUCGGCCUUACGUCGUCAACUGUUCUUGCGUAGCUGGUUCUGUAGAAUGCCAAAUUUCUUCUUAAAGACCAAUAGCAGAAUGGUUUCCGAGAGAACAUUUUUUAUCUGUGAUAUUUCAAGUGGGAAUUCCUAAACGAAGGAGGGUCUACUGUACAUAAUUACUGUAAUAUUUAAUGAAGUUUUACUUUUAAUGCUGUUACGCGUUAUUAACAUUGCAGUAUUAUUAUAUGUUUGAAAUAAUAUUUGUAUUCUGAAAGAAUUUUUAAAACAUCUUAUAAUAUGUGUGUUAAAAACGCAUCUAUUUAAAUUCAUUGCAUGUGAUGUUUUGUUUAAGCUACUGCGAUGCGAAACUGUAAUAUGUUACUCUUUGCAUGAAAUAAAACGUGAUUGUAAGCCAUUAAAGAUUUAAAAUUUAUAAAUAUGCAAAUAAAGCCUGUGUAGUAUUUCA